UACGUAGGGUGCGAGCGUUAAUCGGAAUUACUGGGCGUAAAGUGUGCGCAGGUGGCCGCGCAAGUCGAGUGUGAAAUCCCCGAGCUUAACUUGGGAAUUGCGCUCGAAACUACGUGGCUGGAGUGUGGCAGAGGAAGGUGGAAUUCCACGUGUAGCGGUGAAAUGCGUAGAGAUGUGGAGGAACACCAAUGGCGAAGGCAGCCUUCUGGGCCAACACUGACGCUCAUGCACGAAAGCGUGGGGAGCAAACAGG
rnacentral:rRNA from 1 species